UACGUAGGGGGCAAGCGUUGUCCGGAAUGAUUGGGCGUAAAGGGCGCGUAGGCGGCUCUGUAAGUCUGGAGUGGAAGUCCUGUUUUCAAGAUGGGAAUUGCUUUGGAAACUGCGGAGCUUGAGUGUGGGAGAGGAAAGCGGAAUUCCCGGUGUAGCGGUGAAAUGCGUAGAGAUCGGGAGGAACACCAGUGGCGAAGGCGGCUUUCUGGACCAUAACUGACGCUGAGGCGCGAAAGCGUGGGGAGCAAACAGG
rnacentral:rRNA from 1 species